AACGAACGCUGGCGGCAUGCCUAACACAUGCAAGUCGAACGAGACCUUCGGGUCUAGUGGCGCACGGGUGCGUAACGCGUGGGAACCUGCCCUUAGGUUCGGAAUAACUCCCCGAAAGGGGUGCUAAUACCGGAUAAUGUCUUCGGACCAAAGAUUUAUCGCCUUUGGAUGGGCCCGCGUUGGAUUAGCUAGUUGGUAGGGUAAAAGCCUACCAAGGCGACGAUGCAUAGCUGGUCUGAGAGGAGGAUCAGCUGCACUGGGACUGAGACACGGCCCAGACUCCUACGGGAGGGAGCAGUGGGGAAUAUUGGACAAUGGGCGAAAGCCUGAUCCAGCAGUGCCGCGUGAGUGAGGAAGGCCUUAGGGUUGUAAAGCUCUUUUACCCGGAAUGAGAAUGACAGUACCGGGAAAAUAAGCACCGGCUAACUCCGUG
rnacentral:rRNA from 1 species